rnacentral:rRNA from 1 species
ACCAUGCAGUCGAACGAUGAUGCCCAGCUUGCUGGGUGGAUUAGUGGCGAACGGGUGAGUAACACGUGAGUAACCUGCCCCUGACUCUGGGAUAAGCGUUGGAAACGACGUCUAAUACUGGAUAUGAUCACUGGCCGCAUGGUCUGGUGGUGGAAAGAUUUUUUGGUUGGGGAUGGACUCGCGGCCUAUCAGCUUGUUGGUGAGGUAAUGGCUCACCAAGGCGACGACGGGUAGCCGGCCUGAGAGGGUGACCGGCCACACUGGGACUGAGACACGGCCCAGACUCCUACGGGAGGCAGCAGUGGGGAAUAUUGCACAAUGGGCGAAAGCCUGAUGCAGCAACGCCGCGUGAGGGAUGACGGCCUUCGGGUUGUAAACCUCUUUUAGUAGGGAAGAAGCGAAAGUGACGGUACCUGCAGAAAAAGCACCGGCUAACUACGUGCCAGCAGCCGCGGUAAUACGUAGGGUGCAAGCGUUGUCCGGAAUUAUUGGGCGUAAAGAGCUCGUAGGCGGUUUGUCGCGUCUGCUGUGAAAUCCCGAGGCUCAACCUCGGGCUUGCAGUGGGUACGGGCAGACUAGAGUGCGGUAGGGGAGAUUGGAAUUCCUGGUGUAGCGGUGGAAUGCGCAGAUAUCAGGAGGAACACCGAUGGCGAAGGCAGAUCUCUGGGCCGUAACUGACGCUGAGGAGCGAAAGCAUGGGGAGCGAACAGGAUUAGAUACCCUGGUAGUCCAUGCCGUAAACGUUGGGCG